rnacentral:misc_RNA from 1 species
GAUGAAGAACGUAGCGAAAUGCGAUAAGUAAUGUGAAUUGCAGAUUUCAGUGAAUCAUCGAAUCUUUGAACGCACCUUGCGCCUUGUGGUAUUCCACAAGGCAUGCCCGUUUGAGUAUCAUUAAAUCAUCAACUCUAAAACCUUUGUGGUUUUUUUUAGAGCUUGGUCUUGAGGGUUUUGCAGGCUUUUUUUUUUUUUCGUGUCUGCUCCCUUUAAAUGCAUUAGCGAGACUUCCCUAUGCUGCACCGUCUCUUUGACGUGAUAAUUAUCUGCGUCGAAUUUUGGUUCUCGUUGGGCUUGCUUCUAAUCGUCUGUUAAAGACAAAACGGAUUUGGGUGCAUAUAUGCGCCUUUUUCCAAAACCUUUUUUUGAUCUCAAAUCGGGUAGGACUACCCGCUGAACUUAAGCAUAUCAAUAAGCGGAGGA